rnacentral:rRNA from 1 species
ANAGUUUGAUCCUGGCUCANAAUCNACGCUGGCGGCGUGCCUCAGACAUGCAAGUCGAACGAUUAAAGCUCUCUUCGGAGAGUGUAUANAGUGGCGCACGGGUGAGUAACACGUAAGUAAUCUACCUUUGAGUGGGGAAUAACAGUCGGAAACGACUGCUAAUACCGCAUAAUGCAGCGGCAUCGCAAGAUGACAGUUGUUAAAGAUUUAUCGCUUGAAGAGGAGCUUGCGGCAGAUUAGCUAGUUGGUGAGGUAAUGGCUUACCAAGGCUACGAUCUGUAACCGGUCUAAGAGGACGGUCGGUCACACUGACACUGAAUAACGGGUCNNACUCCUACGGGAGGCAGCAGUCGGGAAUUUUGGGCAAUGGGCGAAAGCCUGACCCAGCAACGCCGCGUGAAGAAUGAAGUAUUUCGGUAUGUAAACUUCGAAAGAAUGGGAAGAAUCAAUGACGGUACCAUUUAUAAGGUCCGGCUAACUACGUGCCAGCAGCCGCGGUAAUACGUAGGGACCAAGCGUUGUUCGGAUUUACUGGGCGUAAAGGNNNNNNAGGCGGCGUGACAAGUCACUUGUGAAAUCUCCGAGCUUAACUCGGAACGGCCAAGUGAAACUGUUGUGCUAGAGUGCAGAAGGGGCAAUCGGAAUUCUUGGUGUANCGGUGAAAUGCGUAGAUAUCAAGANGAACACCUGANGUGAAGACGGGUUGCUGGGCUGACACUGACGCUGANGCGCGAAAGCCANGGGAGCAAACGGGAUUAGAUACCCCGGUAGUCCUGGCCCUAAACGAUGAAUACUUGGUGUCUGGAGNAAUUUGUGCUCCGGGUGNCGUCGCUAACGUUUUUAGUAUUCCCNCNUGGGGAGUACNCUCGCAAGAG